GGGGAAUAUUGCGCAAUGGGGGAAACCCUGACGCAGCAACGCCGCGUGAAUGAAGAAGGCCUUAGGGUUGUAAAGUUCUGUUUUCUGGGACGAUAAUGACGGUACCAGAGGAGGAAGCCACGGCUAACUACGUGCCAGCAGCCGCGGUAAUACGUAGGUGGCAAGCGUUGUCCGGAUUUACUGGGCGUAAAGGAUGCGUAGGCGGAUGUUUAAGUGAGAUGUGAAAUACCCGAGCUCGACUUGGGUGCUGCAUUUCAAACUGGAUAUCUAGAGUGCAGGAGAGGAAAGCGGAAUUCCUAGUGUAGCGGUGAAAUGCGUAGAGAUUAGGAAGAACACCAGUGGCGAAGGCGGCUUUCUGGACUGUAACUGACGCUGAGGCAUGAAAGCGUGGGGAGCAAAC
rnacentral:rRNA from 1 species